rnacentral:rRNA from 1 species
AGAGUUUGAUCCUGGCUCAGAUUGAACGCUGGCGGCAUGCUUUACACAUGCAAGUCGAGCGGCAGCGCGGGGCAACCUGGCGGCGAGCGGCGAACGGGUGAGGAACCCAUCGGAACGUGCCCGAGAGUGGGGGAUAACGCCGCGAAAGCGGCGCUAAUACCGCAUAUGCUCUGAGGAGGAAAGUGGGGGACCCGCGAGGGCCUCACGCUCACGGUGCGGCCGAUGUCCGAUUAGCUAGUUGGUGGGGUAAAGGCCUACCAAGGCGACGAUCGGUAGCUGGUCUGAGAGGAUGAUCAGCCACACUGGGACUGAGACACGGCCCAGACUCCUACGGGAGGCAGCAGUGGGGAAUUUUGGACAAUGGGGGCAACCCUGAUCCAGCCAUGCCGCGUGCGGGAAGAAGGCCUUCGGGUUGUAAACCGCUUUUAGCCGGGAAGAAAAGGCGAGGGAUAACACCCUUCGUUCUUGACGGUACCGGCGGAAUAAGCACCGGCUAACUA